rnacentral:lncRNA from 1 species
CGACCUCUGUCUAAUGCCAACUACAGAUAGAAAAAACCAAAAUGUCACAAUGACAGUGGCAAUCAAUCCGAAGCCUAGAUCGCCACCCAUGCGUCUGGGAAAAAAACGCUAAGGCCACCCUCAUCAAUAUUUGCGACCCCGUUGCAACUAGGGGCUGAAGUGCUGAACCUCCUCCCUCUAGAGAAUAGCCCAACUCGAAAGCCAAUGUGUUGUCGUAAGGAUAACCUGCAAAGGAGAACAAUAGAUUUUUUUUCUUAAACACUAAAUCAUUUCUACAAAUCCAAAGAGCCCGGCACAAGACCACCGCUCCAAGUAGAAACACAGAUUUUAGUAAUUUAUUACGACCCUGAAGCCAACCCCCAAACAUAUGGUCCACAUUAAGAGGUGGACUAAAGCCGGUUGCCAUCUGUAGAAUGCUCCAGACUGAUCGAGCGAAACGACACUCAAAGAAUAUAUCUAGGUGCAACGACUGAUAAUUUGGAUCGGAGGAAAUAUGUAAUAGCUAAGAGCUCAACUUCUUUGGUCAAAUAGGAUUAAAAAGUUAAGAAGUUUCUUUUCUAUUAUCUGACUUAACUUUGUUCAAAGCUAAACUUGUAGAGUGCUGUGAAGGGAUUAAUGUUAUGAACGAAGGUAAAGAAGAGUCAGAAAACUGUUGCGUGGAUAAGCUGGAGGACAUGGAAGUGGGGAAUUGUCCCACCAGAUGCUGCAAGGAUGCUUCCCAUAGUAAUACUUAAUGUUUUGGAAAGUCAAUUAAAGCAAGUUUGUUAUGUUUUGUUCGUAACAACUAUCUAUCAUGGGGUUUUUUCAGGUUCAGCCUCCAGGAAAAAAGUCGUGCCUAGCAUUUCAGAAAACCAGGCUUGCUGUGCAACCACUUUCUGCAAUGAAAGAUCUUGGGAAACUAAUGCAUGGCGUGCUCGGUUAGUAAAGGCAGUUUGUCAGAAAGAAUCUAUUUUGCCAACGAACACAGAGAAUCCAAUUUUACCUUCUUCCAUAGGAAUUUCAUGUGAUGCAGUAGAGUUCUCAGGCAAAUUGGUAGGUUCCCAAGGCAAGUUUCAAAGCCUGGGUGUAAGUAGUAAUGCUCUAGAAAUUCAUUCUCAUGACAAUUGCCAAGAUCCGGUUCUGCACGAAAGCCAUAAGGAUGAGCCUGUUAUUGCUAGAGGUGAGUCAGCAUCUGGUGUUAAUAUUGUUGCAAGAUGUGAGUCGGUACCUGGAGUUGAUUCCAGCAAUUUUGUGAGAGGCAAAGAAAAAGUUAUGUACAAUGACAGCAAUUGUGGUAACAAUACAAGGGAGGGUGAUGACAGCAAUGAGAGCAUCGAGAGCUGUACAAGUACAAAAGCCCCAAAGCGCAAGCAUGCGCAGUGUUGUGCAGCCACGAUGCCUUCUUCUGGAAACAAAAGAUUUAGAAGAGAAGACAAUGAGAGUUCUUGUUCGGGAUUAUUGCAAAAAUGUGGUACAUCUUUCUUCAACUGGAUGUCAUCACUCACGAAUGGGUUACCCAUGCUAGAUGGAGCCACUGCUGCCGUUCCACUUGAACAGAAGUUUUCAGCAAGUACAGGAGAUGGAUCUGCAGCACCUUCCCAGCCACUUCAAAACAACCGCAGCGUUCCUAUGCAAUUUUUUGGCUUCAAUUCGCUCUUCCAGUCCCUGUAUACUCGUAAUGUUAUGAUAACUUCAGGAGAUAAUUGUCGUCAACCAGAAAGCAACUGUGCUGGACAUGUGUUCAAUAGACUGACCCUGGAAUUAAAUGAUAGCAAUUCUAUGUUGAACAAAGAAAUUGGCAUGGGUAGAGAAACUCUUGAUCUGGCUACUCAGACUUCAGCUGCUGAAGGAUUUCAGAUGAUUUCUGGUGGCUGUAGAGGAAAUGUUCAGAGUCAAAUUGAUAUUUUCCAAAUGAGACCAGAAAGAAAUAUGAAACUGCCCAGUUCCAGUAAGUUUAGCUCUAGAUCUCUAGAAGAAAAACAAAAUCAGUGCACAGCUGCCUGCUCAAAUGAUGCAACACAAAAUAAAGGUGGUUUGAGGGAAAGCUUGUGGGUAACUCGGCUUUUGCCAAAAGCAUCAGUAGAAUUGAUGGAGGCAACACCAUGCAAUGUAGAGAAUGCUGUUAGUCCACAGGCUGUGGGUGACAAGUUGUGUUGUCCACCUCUUCAGAAUUUUAAUUUGGAGAAGGAACUAAAUAAUAUACAAUACUUCACUGGAAGAGGAAGCAGCGAUGGUGUAACAAGUAGUAAAUGUCCAGCAACGCCUCCAGAGGAACCUAAGCAAUCUGAAACAAUGGCUUCUGUUUUUGCAAAGAGAUUGGAUGCACUUAGACAUGCAAACACCUCUGCAGUAAGCUUGGCUAUCGCGUGUGAGCAUGGAAGUCCCAAACUGAGAAACCACAAAACUAACUCUUUUGUUGUUAGUUACAGCAGCCAUGAUAAAGUAGAGGCAGGACAUGAAAAUCAUAAAUCUUCUAGUGGAAACGGAAGAAUAGUUUUGUGGGUAGGUGACAAAGGCAAGGAACCGAUGUGUCUAAACAAUGAAGAAUUAAGAGGAAACUUCAUAUCUGAGCGUGAGCAUCAGCAUCAUGGAGGGAACACAGCUGGAAAAUUGGCAACUCAGCAUAAUUUAGAACUGAACAUAUUGGCUGAAGAUACAGACAGAAGCCAAGUAGAAUUGAAGGGAGGAGUCUUAGAUUUUAUGGCAGGUCCAUCAGACAACAAGCAAAUUGUACCUUAUGGCACUAUGUCUAAUGAUGAAUCAAGUGUUAUUUUUGGUGCCUUACAUAGGCUUCGCCUGUCCCGCUCAGAUAUCUUAAGGUACUCCACUGGAUUUCUGGAUCAUUUGAAUUUUGUGCCUUCCAGGAAGCACGUGUAUUUUUUAUGAAGAACAUGUAUAUUUGCAUUCAGGUGAUUUAUGUUCUUGUAUGAAAGGGGAACAUGUAAAUAAUGAUUUCUUAGAGCAUCUCGGUGGACGAAUAUAUACCAUUAGAUACUAAAUCCAUCCCAAAAAGAAAGUCAUUCUAGUUUUGUCCAAAGGCCAUGGUUCUUAAAGCGGUAAGGCGAGACAAGGCGUUGGACCGCCGUCUGGACGCCCAGGCGAGCAAGGUGCUUGGACGCCUAGGCGACACCUUUAAAACACUGCCAAAGGCAAACCAUCUUAAGAUUGCCAGGUUUAUAGAAUUGAGUUAUCAAUAUUCAUGGCACCGAAUAUGCAUACUAGGAAAUAUAUUUCAUGGUGAAUUUGAUGAUACUUAGUAUUUGGUAUCAUAAAUAGUUAUACUUUUUUGUAUAAACUUGUCAAACUUAUGAUUUUUUUCUUCAAGAUUGAAAGAGGUGUGUAUCCUCGAUUAAGAAGAGUAAAAGGAUUUGAAAACCUGUACAACACCCAAAAGAAAGACCUUAUGAUGGUUUACACAGGACAAAACUACCCUCAACCACAGGGGGGAAGAAGCCUCCUGGGCAUAAAAUAAGAAGUACAAGUAUUCGAACAUGGAUCAGCAAGGGGGGACCCCCAAGCACACUACUCUACCAGUAUAACUCAGUGAGAAACUGGUACUUAGGACAAAACUAUAAUGACCUCCUUUUUGGGAUUGACGGAGUACCUUAUGUGGUUAUGGUUAGUUCAGUGUUUUUACUGCCUGGUUCAGAGACUAGUGUGCCAUAAAAAUGACAAGAACUUGCAUUAUCUCAAAGCCAUGUUUUUUGUUUCUUUUUUGAUAUAAACAUUUUGUUGUUUUGCAUGAGAAAUUGCACCUGUUUCAUUCAUAGUGGAAACUUAGCUCAAGUUACAGAAGAUCCUAAAAACUGAAAGCUCAUGUUUGAUCCUUUUUGUGUUUGUUAUUCAUGACAGAUGGCUGAGAUCACCGAUCAUGCACACUACGUUAGAUGGCUUUUUUGUCCGACUGCGAUUUGGUAAAUGGGAGGAAGCAUUGGGUGGCACAGGAUACCAUGUUGCCCGCCUGAAUGGUAAAUGACUAAAAAGUUGCCUUAGUUUGGUGAUUGAAUUUGUAAAAUUGUUCUUCUAUGCACAGCAUUUGUUCAUUGCUUAAAAAUAAAAAAAAACUGUGGUUAAAUGGAAAAAGAGUAAAUGGUGUGGAUGUCUUACAGGAGCACUUGAU